rnacentral:lncRNA from 1 species
CAGUGGCUGGGACUCUCCACCUGCCUGUUCUAGUGCCCCCCACCUCCACGGCCCCUGGCAGAUGCUUGUUGAAUGACUGAAUGAUGUUUACUUGACACCAGCAGCACCACACCCACCAUGCUCCGGGCCGUGCUUGGCCGAGGAGGAAAGCAGGCUUCCUACCACAAACCUGCAGUGCUGGGGCCUCUGGGUGUGCGGCACAGGCUCCCUGGUUGGUGCUCAGAGAGAUUCUGAGAAGGCCUGACCCAGGCUGCUGGGCAUGGCAGGGGACAGCAUGUCCAGAGUGGGCACUGCAGAGCACUGAUGCCUGUCCCAGGAGCCAGAGGGGCACGGCUCGACUUGUGUCCCCUUUGCUGCCCAAGCUGUCACCUAGCUCCUGGCUCCAUGACUGUUGCUGUCAGUGACUAAGGGGCCAUGGCCAGAAGCCCACUGGCAACUUUAAUUCAGCCUCUGGUGCCAGACACAGAGCCCUGUUCGGGCCCACCCUGCUGCUGGUGGGUCUGGAGGCCGGGACAGCUAGGGCUGAACCGCUGGGGUCUGCCCGGUCCCCUGCCGCUUCCCCGCCUCGGCUGUGGAGCCUGCGCCACCCACUCGUGCUAGGCCCCGUGCCCCUGACCUCCACCUGCCGCUCUCCGUUCUCAUCACCCAUCCCUCUCCCCACGUCACCCCAGCUGCUGCGAGGGGAGCCUGGUGUGGACUGGGCCCCCAGAGCACUGUCCGACCCCACCCCUUCUGCCCCAAACACAACAGUCAUGGUGGCCCAAUGCUGCUCUUUAUUGGUCAAAGUCCCUGCUGCUUCCCACCUCGGUGGCCCACCUGGGGCCUGGGCAGCUGGUCUUGGGGGGUGUUGAUGAAGUGGCCAGUCCAGGUGCAGGGCCUCAAGGCUGCCCUCAGGGGCUGGGCACACUGCCCAUGGCACUGCCUGCUAGCCCACCACCCAGGCCCAACACAGCUGCCUCUGAACAGCACAGACUCAAGAAGAGCCAUCUUUCAAUCAAAAGCCAGCUGAGGGCCGGGCAGGGUCACACAUGCCUGUAACUGCGGCCUCACAGGAGGCUGAGCCAGGAGGGUCCCAAGCUGGAGGCCGGCCCGAGCAACUUACCAAGCCUGUCUCCAAAAACACAAAAUUAAAAAAAAAAAUCCCCUGGCUGAGCUGGCGAGGGCAGGGCUGCGGGGGGAGGCAACACCUUCCAAGGGCCACAAGGCACCCAGGGAGCAGGGCUGGGUGACAGGGUUGUGGGCUGAUGCCAGGUCAUAAACCAGGUCACAAGCUGUGUGCGUGCGGGUGGUACAAGGGGCGCCAGCCCCUGGCGCUGCAGCCUGUGGGGUCCUGGCCACGACGCCACCGGGAGCUCCGAGGCCCCCGGCUGGGUAAGGCACGGAGUCCGGCUCCUCGGGGCCCAGUCCCACCUGGCCAGUGGAGCCUCCUCGCAGGAUGUCCCGGCCACUGCAGUGCCAUGGCUGUGGGUCCCUCACUUGGCUCUGGGCUUGGGCCGGAGGCCUGUGGAGCAGAGGAAGGGACAUCACCGGCAGACCUGCUGGGGACGGCUCCAGGUCCCUGCGCCCCAGGGCCCAGUGAUUACAGGCUCUCCAACCCACGCCCACUGUCUGCACUGUGGUGCCCACCGGGCCUCUCGGGCUGGAGCUCUUGCCCGCUGUCUCCACCCACAGAGGACCAGGGCCUUUACCAGGACGCCUGGCUGGCUCUGCAGACCCUCUGCCCAGCACGCUCUGUGCUCCCUGAGUCUGCCCUGUCACCAUCCUGGUGCCUGAGUCCUGGGGUCUGUGGGGGAUGCGGCAGGCUUGGGUUUGAGAACCUCUUUCCCAAAGCAGCAGAAUACUAGCAGAAACAAACUUCAUAGAGGGCUGGGGAAGGAGCUCAGGGGCUCUGCAUCUGCCUAGCAAGCACAAGGUCCUGAGUUUGAGCCCCAGUUCCAACAAACAAAAAACUGCUGAGAACACAGCAGGUGGGAUUUCAGCGCCAGCCCUCUGACAGGAACGGGGAUGGGCCAGGCCCAAGGUGGGCAGGGGCUGCAAGGCCACCAGUCAGAGAGACACAGAGCAGCCAGACUUGCUGUACAGAGGACACUGCAAGGUGCCACAGCCACUUAGUGGGGUUGUGGACAGGACUUCCCAAAACACCAUGCAUUUGCCACAAUGGCACUGCUGGACAGCUGCACACAUGGCUCAGUUCAGAGCACUCUGUGGCGUGGCUGAAGUGGCCUGCACGCUCGCCUUGGCCUUCAGAGUCCCCUGUGGAUGGGCCUAGGGCCAAGCAUCAGGACAUCCUUGUGACCCUGCAAGGGUCUAGAGCUGGGGCAGAGCUGCCAGGGGAGAACAAUUCUGUUAGGUCUGCAAUUCCAGGGAGAUGGUGCAGUUUGCUCUGAUCUCUCUCAGAUGCUGAGUUCAGGUCUGUCCAAAAGAGAAGCUAGGAGACAGGCAGUGGGGUUUCUUCCCCUGCCUGUGGCCACCCAGAUGGCCGCUCCCCGAGGUGACCCCAAGGGUGGGGCACACGUGGCACUGGGCCCAGCACCUAUUACAGGACGGUGGCCACGUGGCCUUCCAUGCCACAGGCAGCAGGACACCAUUGUCCCCACUCCGGGCACAGCUGCUGGAGGGCUCCGAGGCCACAUUCCCACCUCAGGGGAUGCCACAGCCCUUCAAGAAAAUGGGCUAGGGCUUCAGAUCAGGGUCCAAGACCAGAAACCAAGCCAGGGGCAAAGGCUCAGGCCAUAACAGUAGCGCCAAGCAUAGCUAUCAGUCCUCAGCCAGGCGGUACACCUGUCAUCCAGCACUCCGGAGAGAUCAGAGUCCGGUUGGGCAACCUAAUGACUGACUGGUACCUGGUACCUACCUGUCUCAGAAUAAAAUAUAAGAAGGGCUGGGGGCAUAGCUCAGUGGAAGGCCCUCGGGUCCCGUCCCCACUCCCACAGACCUCAUCCCUGUGCCCUGCCGGAGCCUCAGCCUGGUGUGAGGAGGGGCAGGGCGCCAAGUGGGCCCCUGAGCUCCUCCCGCCAAGCUCAGAUGGGGUCAGGCCCUCUUGACCUCUCAUGGGGCGCCUGGCUUCACCUCAGCCCUUCAGGCCACAUGGCCCCCGGUGGUCCUGUCCACAUUCGCUGGGAGGCACCUGCCCAACACAGAGCCGGCUAUGGGAAGGGAGGGGCCACCCACCCCAUUGCAGCCCCUCACAGCCUCCCUGGGGACCUCCACCGCGUCCCUGGCCAUUGGUCUCAAGGCGGGCGCUGAGGCUGCAUCCUGCCCAAGUGGAGGUGGCACAAGGAAGUGGAUCGGAAGGAGCCGCCACCAAGGGCUACAGGAGGCACCUGCCACGUGCCCCAGGGGCCAGAGCGAAGCCAGGUUAGCACCCGGGAGGGCCGGGCAGCAGGCUCAGCCCAGCGCCCACCACCGUUAGUGCACACAG